GAUGAACGCUGGCGGCGUGCUUAACACAUGCAAGUCGAACGAUGAAAGCGGGAGCUUGCUCCUGCUGGAUUAGUGGCGAACGGGUGAGUAACACGUGAGCAAUCUGCCCCGAACUCUGGGAUAAGCGUUGGAAACGACGUCUAAUACCGGAUACGACGCGCGAAGGCAUCUUCUGCGCGUGGAAAGAAUUUCGGUUCGGGAUGAGCUCGCGGCCUAUCAGCUAGUUGGUGAGGUAACGGCUCACCAAGGCGACGACGGGUAGCCGGCCUGAGAGGGUGACCGGCAACACUGGGACUGAGACACGGCCCAGACGCCUACGGGAGGCAGCAGUGGGGAAUAUUGCACAAUGGGCGCAAGCCUGAUGCAGCAACGCCGCGUGAGGGACGACGGCCUUCGGGUUGUAAACCUCUUUUAGUAGGGAAGAAGCGAAAGUGACGGUACCUGCAGAAAAAGCACCGGCUAACUACGUGCCAGCCGCCGCCGUAAUAC
rnacentral:rRNA from 1 species